rnacentral:lncRNA from 1 species
GCACCCCCAUGGGCGGUGCUGGCUUGGUACGCUAGCGCAGAUCUUACGGGGAGUCUUAGUGGGCGGUGCUGGCGUGAGGUACAGGAAGUUUUGGGACCCCCAGACUGGGUUCAUUUGUGUGGUGCUCAGGUCGUCGGUGGUCUUUUCUCCCUGUGCUUUUUUGGGUUCGCGUCUUGUGACCCACUUGUGGGUUUGUGUGACGCAGACGAGGGUACUCUGCUCCACUCUCUGCUGAUGGAACAGCACAGUCUUUGCAGAAGGCGAAGUACAGCUUCAGACACAGCGUCAGAAAACUCUUAUAGGAAAAACUUCAGUUAUGUUGCUUUCAGUUUACUGCCUGUUAAAUUUUUGCUUAAUAGAUCAUGAUCUUUGUGAAUUAAAUGAAUGCCCCUUGGAUCCUGGUGGCUACUUCAUUACUAAUGGAUCAGAAGGUAUAAUAGCAUUAUUAUUGUUUAAAUUACAAAAUUAAAUAAUUAAGAUUUAAAUUGUGAAAGUUAAAAAUAAAAAGUAAGGGAGUUCCCA